rnacentral:rRNA from 1 species
CCUACGGGUGGCAGCAGUGGGGAAUAUUGCACAAUGGGGGAAACCCUGAUGCAGCAACGCCGCGUGAGUGAGGAAGUAUUUCGGUAUGUAAAGCUCUAUCAGCAGGGAAUAGAAAAGAAGGUACCUGAAAAAGAAGCCCCGGCUAACUACGUGCAAGCAGCCGCGGUAAUACGUAGGGGGCAAGCGUUAUCCGGAUUUACUGGGUGUAAAGGGAGCGUAGACGGAAAGGCAAGUCAGAAGUGAAACCCCAAGGCUCAACCAUGGGACGGCUUGUGAAACUGGCAAUCUAGAGUACGGGAGAGGUAAGAGGAAGUCCGGGUGUAGCGGUGAAAUGCGUAGAUAUUAGGAGGAACACCGGUGGCGAAGGCGUCUUGCUGGACCGAAACUGACGUGGAGGCUCGAAAGCGUGGGGAGCAAACAGGAUUAGAUACCCUAGUAGUC